GACGAACGCUGGCGGCGUGCUUAACACAUGCAGGUCGAACGGAAAGGCCCUGCUUUUGUGGGGUGCUCGAGUGGCGAACGGGUGAGUAACACGUGAGUAACCUGCCCUUGACUUUGGGAUAACUUCAGGAAACUGGGGCUAAUACCGGAUAGGAGCUCCUGCUGCAUGGUGGGGGUUGGAAAGUUUCGGCGGUUGGGGAUGGACUCGCGGCUUAUCAGCUUGUUGGUGGGGUAGUGGCUUACCAAGGCUUUGACGGGUAGCCGGCCUGAGAGGGUGACCGGCCACAUUGGGACUGAGAUACGGCCCAGACUCCUACGGGAGGCAGCAGUGGGGAAUAUUGCACAAUGGGCGGAAGCCUGAUGCAGAAACGCCGCGUGCGGGAUGACGGCCUUCGGGUUGUAAACCGCUUUCGCCUGUGACGAAGCGUGAGUGACGGUAAUGGGUAAAGAAGCACCGGCUAACUACGUG
rnacentral:rRNA from 1 species